rnacentral:rRNA from 1 species
AAGACCUUGCACUUUUGGAGCGGCCGAUGUCUGAUUAGCUAGUUGGUGGGGUAAUGGCCUACCAAAGCUUCGAUCAGUAGCUGGUCUGAGAGGACGGCCAGCCACACUGGGACUGAGACACGGCCCAGACUCCUACGGGAGGCAGCAGUGGGGAAUUUUGGACAAUGGGGGAAACCCUGAUCCAGCCAUGCCGCGUGAGUGAAGAAGGCCUUCGGGUUGUAAAGCUCUUUCAGCCGGGAAGAAAAGGUUGCGACUAAUAAUCGCAAUUCAUGACGGUACCGAAAGAAGAAGCACCGGCUAACUACGUGCCAGCAGCCGCGGUAAUACGUAGGGUGCGAGCGUUAAUCGGAAUUACUGGGCGUAAAGGGUGCGCAGGCGGUUUUGUAAGUCAGAUGUGAAAUCCCCGGGCUUAACCUGGGAACU